rnacentral:rRNA from 1 species
GACGAACGCUGGCGGCGUGCUUAACACAUGCAAGUCGAACGAUGAUGCCCAGCUUGCUGGGUGGAUUAGUGGCGAACGGGUGAGUAACACGUGAGUAACCUGCCCCUGACUCUGGGAUAAGCGUUGGAAACGACGUCUAAUACUGGAUAUGACUGCCGGCCGCAUGGUCUGGUGGUGGAAAGAUUUUUUGGUUGGGGAUGGACUCGCGGCCUAUCAGCUUGUUGGUGAGGUAAUGGCUCACCAAGGCGACGACGGGUAGCCGGCCUGAGAGGGUGACCGGCCACACUGGGACUGAGACACGGCCCAGACUCCUACGGGAGGCAGCAGUGGGGAAUAUUGCACAAUGGGCGAAAGCCUGAUGCAGCAACGCCGCGUGAGGGAUGACGGCCUUCGGGUUGUAAACCUCUUUUAGUAGGGAAGAAGCGAAAGUGACGGUACCUGCAGAAAAAGCACCGGCUAACUACGUGCCAGCAGCCGCCGCGGUAA